UACGAAGGGGGCUAGCGUUGCUCGGAAUCACUGGGCGUAAAGCGCACGUAGGCGGCUUUCUAAGUCAGGGGUGAAAUCCUGGAGCUCAACUCCAGAACUGCCUUUGAUACUGGAGAGCUUGAGUCCGGAAGAGGUGAGUGGAACUCCGAGUGUAGAGGUGAAAUUCGUAGAUAUUACGGAAGAACACCAGUGGCGAAGGCGGCUCACUGGUCCGGUACUGACGCUGAGGUGCGAAAGCGUGGGGAGCAAACAGG
rnacentral:rRNA from 1 species